AUCUGCCUAGUAGAGGGGGACAACAUGUGGAAACGCAUGCUAAUACCGCAUACGCCCUGAGGGGGAAAGGAGGGGAUCACUUGUGACCUUCCGCUAUUAGAUGAGCCUGCGUGAGAUUAGCUAGUUGGUAGGGUAAAGGCCUACCAAGGCGACGAUCUCUAACUGGUCUGAGAGGAUGACCAGUCACACUGGGACUGAGACACGGCCCAGACUCCUACGGGAGGCAGCAGUGGGGAAUAUUGGACAAUGGGCGCAAGCCUGAUCCAGCCAUGCCGCGUGUGUGAAGAAGGCCUUAGGGUUGUAAAGCACUUUCAGGAGUGAGGAAGGGCGUAUUGGUUAAUACCCAAAUGUUUUGACGUUAGCUCCAGAAGAAGCACCGGCUAACUCUGUGCCAGCAGCCGCGGUAAUACAGAGGGUGCAAGCGUUAAUCGGAAUUACUGGGCGUAAAGCGCGCGUAGGUGGUUUGUUAAGUCGGAUGUGAAAGCCCAGGGCUCAACCUUGGAAUGGCACCCGAUACUGGCAGGCUAGAGUAUGGUAGAGGGGUGUGGAAUUUCCUGUGUAGCGGUGAAAUGCGUAGAUAUAGGAAGGAACAUCAGUGGCGAAGGCGACACCCUGGACUAAUACUGACACUGAGGUGCGAAAGCGUGGGGAGCAAACAG
rnacentral:rRNA from 1 species